AGACAGCAGUAGCCGCGGUAAUACGUAGGUGGCAAGCGUUGUCCGGAAUUAUUGGGCGUAAAGGGCCCGCAGGCGGUUUCUUAAGUCUGAUGUGAAAGCCCCCGGCUCAACCGGGGAGGGUCAUUGGAAACUGGGAAACUUGAGUGCAGAAGAGGAGAGUGGAAUUCCACGUGUAGCGGUGAAAUGCGUAGAGAUGUGGAGGAACACCAGUGGCGAAGGCGACUCUCUGGUCUGUAACUGACGCUGAGGAGCGAAAGCGUGGGGAGCGAACAGGAUUAGAUACCCCGGUAGUCCCUGUCUCUUAUAC
rnacentral:rRNA from 1 species